rnacentral:rRNA from 1 species
AACGAACGCUGGCGGCAUGCCUAACACAUGCAAGUCGAACGAAGGCUUCGGCCUUAGUGGCGCACGGGUGCGUAACGCGUGGGAAUCUGCCCUUAGGUUCGGAAUAACAGUUAGAAAUGACUGCUAAUACCGGAUGAUGACGUAAGUCCAAAGAUUUAUCGCCUGAGGAUGAGCCCGCGUAGGAUUAGCUAGUUGGUGUGGUAAAGGCGCACCAAGGCGACGAUCCUUAGCUGGUCUGAGAGGAUGAUCAGCCACACUGGGACUGAGACGCGGCCCAGACUCCUACGGGAGGCAGCAGUGGGGAAUAUUGGACGAGGGGCGCAAGCCUGAUCCAGCAAUGCCGCGUGAGUGAUGAAGGCCUUAGGGUUGUAAAGCUCUUUUACCCGUGAUGAUAGUGACAGUAGCGGGAGAAUAAGCCCCGGCUAACUCCGUG